ACUCCUACGGGAGGCAGCAGUGGGGAAUAUUGCACAAUGGGCGAAAGCCUGAUGCAGCCAUGCCGCGUGUAUGAAGAAGGCCUUCGGGUUGUAAAGUACUUUCAGCGGGGAGGAAGGCGAUGCGGUUAAUAACCGCGUCGAUUGACGUUACCCGCAGAAGAAGCACCGGCUAACUCCGUGCCAGCAGCCGCGGUAAU
rnacentral:rRNA from 1 species